rnacentral:piRNA from 1 species
UGCUUUUCAUGAGGCCUUCUUGUCCUGAAU